rnacentral:tRNA from 1 species
GGAGGGUUGCCCGAGUGGCCAAAGGGAACGGGCUGUAAACCCGUCGGCUCACGCCUUCAUUGGUUCGAAUCCAAUACCCUCCA